rnacentral:rRNA from 1 species
UACGUAGGGGGCUAGCGUUGCUCGGAUUUACUGGGCGUAAAGGGCGCGUAGGCGGACAGUUUAGUCAGAGGUGAAAGCCCAGGGCUCAACCUUGGAAUUGCCUUUGAUACUGGCUGUCUUGAGUACGGGAGAGGUGAGUGGAACUCCGAGUGUAGAGGUGAAAUUCGUAGAUAUUCGGAAGAACACCAGUGGCGAAGGCGACUCACUGGCCCGUUACUGACGCUGAGGCGCGAAAGCGUGGGGAGCAAACAGG